rnacentral:lncRNA from 1 species
CUGGGAUUAAAGGGGUGAGCCACUGUACCUGGCAACACCUUUAAAAAUUUCUUCACCCACCUAUCCACCUUUAAAGUUGUUCUUUGAGGGCUUUCAGGAAUGAGGUUAAUCCAAAUAGGAUAAGGCAGUUUUGUUCCCAGGAAGUAUUUAACACACUGGUUCUCAACUUUCCUACACAUUAGAAUCACCUCGGGGAGGUUUGUGAAAAUGCAGAUUGCUGGUCUCCACUCCCAUCCAAUUCAGUAGGUCCGAGCUGAAGUCUGAGAAUUUGCAAUUGUAACAACCUCCCAGAUGACACUGCUGGUCUGGGAAAUCACACUUUGAAAACCACUGAACAAAUUGUCAAAAAAUAAUUGCUGACAGUCAGUAAUGUAAUAAAUCCAUUAGCCCCCUCCAGCCAAGGAGGGAAGACUGGGUAAAGAAGCCAUAGACGGUGGCAGUGACCGGGGUCAAAAGAUGUUGCCACUAUGGGGUUGUUCCUAGGUAUCUAUGGAGUAGCAUACCAAAAAGGCCAGAAUUUUCUGUUGGGUAUUGCUGCUCAUCUAGAAAACACCAGCUACCAAUAGAUGUCCUCUCUGUGCCGAAAUACUGCUUACCUCAGGGGAUAUUGGCUUGCUUGCUUCCUUUUCUGCCACCGCCCUCCCCCACACCCCCCACCAUGCAAAUCCCCCUGGGAAAGAAGAAAGUUGGACAGGAACAAGAUAGGUUAGACACUUACAAAUCAACUCAUCAACAAGUCACAGAAGGCAUAAUUUUAAUUCUGAAAGAGAAUAUAAAUCCUAUGAGCCCUGGCAAUGUCCACAUUGAAAUUUAUGACAAUAGUUUGGGAGGUGGAAGCAGAGAAAGAGACCUGAUGGGCGUGUGGGAACCCUACUAUUAAAUAGCACAGAGGGAAGAGGAACUGUUUUAAGGUGAAAGACUACAGAAUAAAGUUUUGAGAAUAUUAUUUAAAGUCCUGAUGGUAACCGAUAGAAAACCUAGAAAUAAGAUUGUAUCUGACUAAAUAUGGGACAAGUCAGGAGGAGUGUAGAGUAAUAUUGUGUGACUGAGCACAAUCCCCACAUUUGGUAGCCCCUGAGAUGGACUCCCGUGAUCCCUGACCCGAGCUAUUGUAACACUUUGUAAUCCCAUCCGUUUGACCAUAGACCAGACUUACUGACUUCUAACAAAUAGGAUACAACAGAAGUGUUGAGAUGUCACUUCCCAGAUUAGUUUACGCAGAAACUUUGGCUUUAUCUGAGGCACCCACUCUAUUGCUCUCCGGAUUGCUCCAAGGGAAGACAGCUGCCAUUUGAUGAGCUGCCCACAUGACAGAGAACAGGCCAAUAGCCCUCAAAGAAUUGAAACCUACCAACCAGGGGAGUGAGAUUGGAAGCAUAUAUUCCUUCGAUUAAGAGUUCAGAUGAGAAGACAGUUCCUGCCAAUACCUUGAUUGCAACCUUAUGAGAAAUCUUGAGGUGGAGACCUAGCUAAACCAUGCCUAGAUUCCCGACUCACAGACUGUGAGAUAAUAUACUAAAAAUACAUCACUAAUUUAGAAUAAAAAUCAAACAAGCUGUCGAAGAAUGUACACAAAAGUUGAAAAAAUAUUACACCAAAGAUGAUAGACAAAGCACGGCAAUCCAUUCUAAGAAAAGAGGUAUUUGCAAGGGCAAAUGAGAACAAAUGGAGCCAAAGCAAUAAAUUAAGAGAGGAAAAUUUUUGUAAGCUAUAAAAAUGAUCUGAGCUUGUAGUCAAAAGGAGUCAAGAUAUUGCAUGCAACAUUGAUGAGUAGAGACCCAUGCUUAGAAAUCAUCUGAAAAAAAGUAUUUUAGAAAUAAAGGGAGUAAGCCUGUAAAUGUUCAGGAAGAAUACAUGGAAUUGAUAUUUUUUAAAAUAACUAAAAUUCAUUCUCCUCCAAUACACUGGCCACAAAAAAGUGAAGCAACUUUUAUAUGAAAUGAAAAAAAGUGGUUGUCUUCUAAAGUUGUGCACAAAAGCCACUGAAAGACAUGCUCAGACAUAAAAGGGCUAUGAAAGUAAACAACUAUUAACUCUUCUUUUAAAAAAUAUGUAUAAACUGUAUUUAAUUGAAUGAGCAAUAAAAUAUUAAGAAAAUGGGAUACAUAAGUCUGCGUGGGAAACACUGAUGUCAGUUAAGUAUGUGGGUUGAAAUAAAAAUAUGAUAACUUUAGUCUGACUCUAAAAGUAAAUGUGUAUAAAUACUUAAACAUUCAUAGCAAGAAGUUUAAAGUGAUUUGAUUUUUAUUGAAUUUGAUGAAGGUAUUACAUUCUGGGGUGUUUUUGAAAAAGUGAAAGAGAACCAGUAAAAGAUCUUAUCAGUUAACUUUUACUAUGUAACAAACCACCCCACAACUUACUGAGCCAAAACAACCACUAUUUAUUUAGCUUAUGAGUCUGUGGGUGAGCAAUUUGGA